rnacentral:lncRNA from 1 species
CAUUACAUUGUACAUUAAAAAAAAAAUUCUUCACAAAGAAAAUUACAUUCUUCACAAGCAUCAAAACUCCAUCUCCGACGCAACUAUCAACAUUCUUAAUCCAGCAACAAUACUGCAAUACUAAAUUAAAAUAGUUAAAAAUAAUGCAACAAUUAUGUGUGCACAUAACCAAUAUGAAAGAUACAAAUAAAUAAAAAUUACUUAUAAUUUAUAUACAUAUCUUGCCAAACUCAUUGAACUAUCUGUUGAAUUUAGGCAAAACUAUUCUUCUAUAUCUACUUUGCUCGUUAAGUUGCUAUUGACUUUAUUAACAUUGUCUUGAGGUGCAAGCAUCUUAUCCAACCAACUACCAUAUGCAAAAUAGCCAAUAUCAAUGGACACAACACUAUUAAAGUUUUCAAAACAUUUUAAAUAAAUACCUUAUCCAACCAUGUACAAUAUACAUAAAAGUGCAUUACGAUUAACAAUAGAAUUAUUAAAAAAAAGGGAAAUUAUCAUUUGUAUACCCUUAGUUUACUCCAUUAUCAAAAAUACUACAACACAUUGAGGGUGUAUCAAUCGUCCACCCUAAGUUGACAAAAUGUAUCAGCUGACCACCAAACCGUUAGUUGCCGUUUAAGUAUGAUGACAUCAGAAGGGUAAUUUGGUCUUUUUAUAUGAUACAAGUGAUAAUUUAAGGGGUAUACAAGUGAUAAAAAGAUAAUUUAAGGGUAUACAAGUGAUAAUUUUCAAGGAUAAAAUCGUCAAUUCACUGUAAUUUCGUUAACUUUCAAACGGCAACUAACGGUUUGGUGGUCGGCUGAUACAUUUUGUCAACUAAGGGUGAACGAUUGAUAAACUCUCAAAGUGUUGUAGUAUUUUUUAUAACAGAGCAAAUAUAGGGUAUACGAAUGAUAAUUUCCCUAAAAAAAAAAGGGAUGAUUAGAACUUACAUUAAUACAAAGUUCUUCGAACAUUGGUUAAGUUCAUAAAGAGAUGUGCACUAUAUAUGUCAAAACAUCAUAGUAUUUCUUUAUAACCAAAAUUUAAUUGCUAAGCAUAAUUAAUCCAAUAAUAAACUUGAUAUUGUUAUAAUGCGAUUUCUUGCUUUUACCUUUUAGAGACUAGACUUACCAAAUCCGAUGAUCAUUAGUAACCUAAUUUAAUUUUUUCUAGUAUUGCAAAGUUUGUUAUUCAACUAGUCUCAUAAUUUUUGUUUCUCUCUUCAACUUAAGUGAUAACAAUGGCAUGAUAAAACUAUUCUUAGCAAGGAUUUCAUCAUCUCGAGAGUCACAAAUCAUGUACUAAAUCAAAGUAGAUUUUAUUUUUAUGAAACUAUGACUACUUACACUAAAGAAUCAACAUAUUGAUUGUUAUAAUUUAUAAACAAUUAAUCAAUUUUUACUACAGUAUAAUAAAUAUCUAAAUAUCCAAUUUUCUCCUUUCCCUUUAAAUAUAUAUCCAAAUUUCAAUCAAUCUAAAUAAUAAUAAUUAUAGCAUCAACAAUAACAAUAAUAAUAAAUGAAAAACCCCAUCCUUGAAAUACCCGACAUUUACUCAAAUUUUCAAAAUCUACUAUUUCUAUUUCACUGUAUUGAUUCCAGAUCUAACAUUCAAACAUGAAUUAUGAAAAAAAGGAAAAACAAAGAUCUCAUUCACGUGACUAUCCCCAAAUAAACGAAUCAUCAUUAUUUUUCAAUGAAUUAAAGAAAUUAAAGAAAUAGAAAACACCUCAUUGUAAAGAUCCAAGCUUUUUAAAAACAAAAGUGUCAAAUGCUUUAUUCCUUUUCUGGAAGAUGUGAACCCAAACUUCCAAAUCUUCAAUUUCUGACUUGUUCUUCGCGGUUUGUGAUUGAGAUUUACUUCACCAUUUUCUCUCUCUUCACUCCCACUUUGCGUUUCUACACUCUUCAAGAGCGGCAGCUGUAAAUUUAGAAUAGUAACUGCAGAAGAGAUGAAAUUAGGGUUGAUUAUUUGGGGACAGUUGCAAAAGGGUGGUAUUUUUAGUGAGAAGUUUUGAGAAGGAAUUUUGAGAAGAGAAAGACGAGAGAGAGAGAGAGAGAGAGAGAGGCACACCUCGAAGAAAUUAGGGAUUUGAGGGAACUUAGGGGGAUUUUUUUAUUUGUACAUUUAUAUAAAAAUGACAUUUUUUAAAUUACGAGUCAUAUGUUUACCUUAAAAAAUAUGACGUGUUUUAACUUCCUAUCAAAUUAAAAUUAUCAUAGAUGACUCUCUAAUUAUAGAAAAAGUCAUCUAAAAGAAAAGACAAUAGUUGUUUAGAUGUGAGUCGUCUAUUGAAUGUCAUCUAUCUCACUUAUUGUAGUAGUAUGCCAGAGAGCAUCAACCUCUCCUCUUAAGGUCCAAGCAUUAUAUUCACCACAUCACCAUCCACCGAAGAGGUAUGCCCUUCCUCGAUGACAAUUAAAAGACCAAGAAAGGACGCCAUCAACAAAAACAAUUAAGUUUGCUCUCUGAAUUUGUAAUAAGACUUGCCUUUCAGCUCCAUAAGAACACCCCUCCCCAUUUGAAUUGUGAUUUACAAGCAAAAACAAUUAAGUUUGCUCUCUGAUAUUAUCAAUAAUAAAACAUCGUCAUCUUUGCAAUCAACUAGACUACUUUCUCCCAUUAACACGGACACCAGACAACGAAUGUUCUGUUUCUAUUUUGUUA